rnacentral:rRNA from 1 species
GUGGGGAAUAUUGGACAAUGGGCGCAAGCCUGAUCCAGCCAUGCCGCGUGAGUGAUGAAGGCCUUAGGGUUGUAAAGCUCUUUCAGUGGGGACGAUAAUGACGGUACCCACAGAAGAAGCCCCGGCUAACUUCGUGCCAGCAGCCGCGGUAAUACGAAGGGGGCUAGCGUUGUUCGGAUUUACUGGGCGUAAAGCGCACGUAGGCGGAUCGUUAAGUCGGGGGUGAAAUCCUGGAGCUCAACUCCAGAACUGCCUUCGAUACUGGCGAUCUUGAGUACGGAAGAGGUGAGUGGAACUCCUAGUGUAGAGGUGGAAUUCGUAGAUAUUAGGAAGAACACCAGUGGCGAAGGCGGCUCACUGGUCCGGUACUGACGCUGAGGUGCGAAAGCGUGGGGAGCAAACAGGAUUAGAUACCCUUGUAGUCC